AACAGGCAAUGGGCGUUUGUUCAGAGCUUGCUGUAGCAAGGCAGUGGACCACAUCACCUGUGUUUCAGCAGAGACCCAAAGGUAGGUAGAGGAGUAGGGAAGCUUUUUAGUGGAAAAUGGGGAAGGUUCCAGUGUGCCCUGACUGGAGGCUAUCAGCCUGGGGAAGCUGUAGGCAGGGCAACUAGAAGCUGGGCAUUUUAUGUGGUUGGUUAGCUAUGUAUUUGACUUCCUCUGGUUGGUUCUAAGUUGGAAGUAGGGACAAAAAUUAGGGAAGCUAUCAGUUACUAAUCAAGCCCUGGAGGUUUGGGGCCAAUUGUUACAGAAGUUUUUGUUAGGCUUCCUAGACUGUGUGGCCUGACUUCCUACAAGUCUGACUUACAUAUAGCAGGCUGGCAUUCUGGGCUGGUUUCUGUAGAUCAUGGGUUGACAUCCUAGACCGGGUGCUUCAGACUGUGGGCCAGAAUUCUGUUUUUCACAUGCGGUUUGGCAAUUGUUCAUUUGUAUAUUCAGGAUGAAGCUCACAUAAUGGCCAAGUGAAUUACUGACAUCAGUGGGAAUGGAGAAGAAGGAAUUAAAAGGACAGGAUUUGGCAACAGGUGGCGGUGAGGAAGUCUUCACAGACCAGAAGAGUGGUGAAAACUCUUUUGCUACCAGACUGCCUGCAGACUUAGUUCUUCGCUUUCUUGUGAACUUUCUUCUGCAUCUGUCCUUUGGCCCACAGUGGAAGACAGGAGAAAGAAGUGGACGUAAGACUCAGGCAAACCUAUUUUGUGAGUUGCUAUGAACGGAGUAUUUGUGUCCCUCCAAGAUGUGUACGUUGAAAUCCUCGCCACCCAGGUGAGGAUUUUAGGAGAUGAGCCGCUGGGAGGUGAUCGGGUGGGGAGAGUAGAGCCCUCAUGAACGGGAUGAGUGUCCUUACAGAAGGAGCCCCCAGAAGGGCCCUUCCUCCCUUCCUGCGGUCCCUCCUUCCAGGUUACAGUGAAAAGAUGGGCUCUCUCUGGACAACAAACUGGCCGAAUUUGCUAGCAACUGGGACUUGGACCUCCCAGCUUCCAAACUGAGAAAUGAGUUUCCAGGGUUAGCAUGCCACCCAGUCUCUGGCAGUUGGCUACAUCGGCCUGGAGAGACGAGGCGUUGAGAAGAGCUCUGGGGCAGACAUGAUGGAGGCGGUGAACGCCACUGUCACUGCUAAGUUUCCUGGGCUCCCGGAGUCCUGCAUUCCCGGUCCCUCCAGCCUACACACAGGGAGUCCCACAUGGGGACAGUGGAGUCCAGUGAGGGCCACGGCUUCAAUAGACUUUCUAUGACACGGGGUCAGCCAAGCUUGACUUCAAGAGCAGGAGUUUCUGACGUAGUCUGAUUGCCCGUUGAAAUUCAGAAGAAAGUUUAAGCAUUGUGAAAGCGAUGGCAUAUGACCUGAUUCCACAAAAUAAAUACUAACACCUGACAGUUGCUCUGACUAUU
rnacentral:lncRNA from 1 species